UCUGUCAAAAAUAAGUCUGCUCUGGAGUAGACUUAUUUUUGACAGAUUGGUGAUUAUUCUCUCGAUCCUAAUCGGUUGUUUAUACAGUUUUGAUUCCACUGAGGUCAUUUACGCGACAACCAUCGGGAGGAUCUUCCGGCUGCCUAAACAGAAUAAAAUCAGUUCGAAAAUCAACACAAGCUCCGCUUUUGGCUGCAGUUUGUAAUCAGAUAGUGUAUACAAGAGGACAAGCCGGCUAGAGUGGUUCCCUCAUGGAACUUCUAUGAAAUGCACAAGUCAACCGAAUUGGCCUUGGCCAAAAAUCUUAAAGGAGUUUCCGGCCAGCGACUAAUCACAAUAAUAGGAGAUAAGCUGUAAACAUAACUCAAAAUGGAUAGAAGCAUUGGCUGAUCCACCCAGCUGGGAUUAUCGGAUGAUUUUGAGAAAUUAGUGCCUACGACGUCGAUUCGGUUGAAACUGGUCAUGCUUUACCAUACCAACAAAAUUCAGAGCUGGUAGCAGGUCUCUGAAAAUACUUGGUCUUUAUUUCAAUGAAGGCCUCUAAAAAGUCUCUUUUUUUUACUGGAAGUUCUCUAAAGUCAUCAAAAUGCUAAUUUCUUUUUUCCUCGUGAAUUAAUCCUUGUGCAAAAUUUGAGUCUCCAGAGAUGCCUUCAGAUAUUCUUACGUCACUAUUGCACGGGUUCUUCAUGUAUUUCUUUACGGAUUUCUCAAGUAAAUACUUCAAUAAUUCUAGUGAUUUCUCCAGAGGUUACUUAAAGGAAACUAUCAGGAACUACUCUAGGGUUCUCUCCACACACUAAGCUCAUUAUAUCGGAACCAGCGAAUUUCAAUGUAAUCUGGACAGCUAAACUGCACUUUAUGUAUAACAACAUGUGGAAGUUAUUAAAUCUUGUUAUUCAAUUCACAACAAAAUUAAUGUAUCCAGUCAUAGAUUUGAAUAUUCCAGGCAUCAAAUUAUUGUGUGAUGGUGAAAAAACAUUUUUUAAAGAUGUCAAAAAUAAAUAACUUUGAAACAAAGAAAAAAAUGAAACGUUCAACUUCUCGUCUCAAAAUAUUUGACUUUUAACGUUAAGCUCCACGUCUCUUGUAAAAAAAUACGUGCUAUGGGUUUUAUUAGUUAUUUGAAAUAUUUUGCAAAAUUCCCCGAGAUGAAAGUUUCAGCAAUAAUAUUCCAAAGGAAUUACUGAAGCUUUUGUGAUGGAAUUCAUUCGCCGAAAUUUUCAACUGAACAAGAAUCUCAAAUUAUGUCAUAUUCCUUUAAAUCCAAUAUAACAACAUGAAAUCAACUAUUUUUGCAAGUUUUUUUAUUCAUAAAAGUGGGAAGUGGUUUGAGCUAACGAAUUCAAUUUCUAAUGAUUCUACUAUUAAAAUUCAAAUUUUCAUUUAGAUAUAUAUGAGGAUUGAGAGUCAUAAAGUAUUUCAAGUUAAUUAAAAUAUUGUAUUCUAUAGUUUUGUUCAUUGAUUCCAACUGAAAUAAUGGUUGAAAAGUGGGUUACUGGCCAUUUCAAACAUAUUGC